UGAUACUUGGUCAAUUAUGUGUUGUACAUAUGUAAAUGUUCUGUGUACCCAACGGUUUUAGUAGGUUUCAGCGGGUAACCCCAUUUAACGAUGCAUUAGGGAAGGCUAGUUCAGUCGGUCAUUUCUCGCCACCGCACUCCCUUAAUGUAUCCCAACCCUACCUUGGUCGUUCCACCGAUGCGUCUGCCCUGUCUAGACGCUUUUAAUUUGCGUAAUCAAAACACAAAGAGCGACUGUCAAUGAGAACAGAGCUAAAACCAAAACAGAAACAAACAAUCACGCCUUUACACACGUUGAUAAUUUACAAAAAAAAUUUCAAAGCUCCCUUUUUAUUUUAAUUAAAAAAAAAACCCCUAGGCCAAAGGCUAGACUGUAAGUAAAUCGAAUGUUAAUGAAAACAUACAAUUCACUAAAAAAAUAAGUUGGAACUGUAUCAUUAAAUUGGUGACCCUCCCAUAGACCAUUCUGAUUUCUAUAUAUUAAGAGUAGUAAUUACGUUUUUUAUAAAUUAUAAAUUUAUUUUAAGUUAAACAACCAAUUAAAUGGCUUUAAAACGUUGUGGGAACGAUCAUAACAUGGAAACAAUAAUUUAGAUUAGCUAAUAGUUUUUGCAACUGGUGGCACAUAUUUUAAAUAAAACAGAGAGCUCUCUAGACUUACUCAAAUAGUAUGUAAUAUCAGCUUCAAAAGCAUAUUAUUUGUCUAUAUAUCGCAACGAAUAGAAUGCAGUUCCUUAAUUAAUAUAAUCGUUGUUUGAAAUUUCUGUUCUCUGAGAGGUCGCUAUUUUUACCCGUAUGGCUGUAUUGUUCUCGGAAGUGGCUGACGUCGAAUAAUUCGUCACCAGUACAAGUCGCAAGUCUACGACGCCUCGAUAUCACAAUGGGGUCCAUAGAUUUCAGUCGGAGCUCUAGCUCUCAGAGGCAGACAAGCAUCAAAGAUCUGUACAAAUGGUUUUGGUUUCCUCGUUUGUCAGCGUAUUUCGCUAAAAAUGUAUCUAUGUAUAUGUAUAUAUGGGGCCAUAGUUGGAUUUUGCACCUUGGCACGAAUCACAGUCAACAACAUAGUUAACUUCAUUAACAAGUGCACUGCGAAUUGCUCUUUACCUCUUUUGAGGUAGCCGAUCUUUGUAGCCCGAAUUUGCUGGACUUGAUUGCAAUUUAUUUUAACUGCUGACGACUUCAUAAUGUUCACAAAGGUCAUGCUUGUACGUUGUAUCUGUCAAAUCUCCUUAAAUAUAAAAAGAUUUUUACUUGAAAUCGAUGUUUUCUCGCAUUUAUCAAGAUUAGUUUGUUUUUUUUUUCGUAAUUUAUGAGCUUUUCUCCGAGGCAGCACCGAUUUUGUGUAUAAGAAAGCGAAGCUGACAGCCAGAUUAAUGUGUUGAUGCCAGAUUAAUCAGAUUUAAAAGAGUAAUGCACCGAUGUACAUACCACUGAUAAAGAGUAAAGAAGCCCACGAUGUGUGCAUAUUGCGUGUGGAAUCUCGUACAGCUAGAAGUGCUGCCGAUUCGUGAGUCAAACAGUUGGAAUGGCACUACGAUGGGUUGGGCUGGCAGUCAAUAGCCCCAACUGUUAAUUGCAAAAUCAAAUUGAGCUGCCACAAUGUUGCUGUCGGAGAAGAUUACCUCAUCAUCGAAAAGACGAAAAGUGUUGGUGGCGAAAUCAUCAGCGUCUCCCAAAAUGGCAAUGAGCGAAUGUUUCCUGGAAGAACGAAGGGGCCACGCAUCGCGAGUCUGACUCUCCCCCGGCUAAUUACACGCAAACGCAUUUUAAUUUUCAUAAAAAUAAUCAUAACAUGUGCCGCGCACAUAACUCUUGCUCUCAUUUCCUUUGGCACUAGAUAAAAUAAACUGGCUGCGGAACCAUUUGAAGCACGGCAACAAAAUGUUCGAUUGUGAUAAAUGAAUUCCGCGAAUCUGUCGAGGCCAACAGCUACGAAAUUCGCAAUUUCAGGUGUAUAAAUAGAUCGACCACUGCAAGCAAAGCAAACCGAAUAAUAAUGCUUAACAAUCUAAACUGAGAUCAACAAACAAAUCGAUCGAACCCUUUUUAUUAAAAUAUUCGUUUCGAAAACUACCUCAAAUUGAGGUAAACUUGGCAGUCGGCGAAGUCUUUUUAAUAAAUGAAAUAUUCCGGUUAAAUGGAUGGCAUACAUGUAGAUAUUGUAGAACCCCUCACCGCAAACCUGGAAAGUCGUCAAAGUCAUUAAAGUCGUUAAAGUAUUAGAACAUACGACCUACAAGUGUAAAACAAAGCGGAGCCGAAAAUUUAUUUCAAGUCUACAUAAUGUGCAAAAUUUAAAGAAAGGAAGUGCCUUGCAGUACACAAAAUAACUCUAACCAGGCUCCACUUGUGCCCUGAAAGACAUAAACCUUUUUCAAUCGGCACAUUGUAUUUGUUGCAUAUCUAAAUCCA